GAGCGCGACCAUGGAGGCGGGGAUCACCCGAUCCCAUUCCGAACUCGGAAGUUAAGCCCGCCAUCGCCGAAAGUACUGCGGAG
rnacentral:rRNA from 1 species